UGGCUUCCGGGUUGGAUGCGUGCUGUGUUAAAGAAGCAGUGCGGCUUGGUGGGGUUGUGUUUCGGAGGAUGCAUGGCUUUCGACCUUGUCUGACAUGCUAUCCCCAGAGCCUGUACGAGAGUUGUAGCGAGAGUUGUAGCGAUGAGACAAGAUAGUAACUACUAUGGGGAGAAAAAGGGGGUAAAAUAAAAAAAAUAAAAAAGUUUUUAUUUGAAUAAAUCAGAAAAGUUCAGACAGGUACUGUAUCUUUUUUUACAGGUCCCACAGAGAACAUCCUGCAAAGCUCCACAUGGACCUACGAUAGCACUUCCAGAGUGCGUCUGGUCAACGGCACCAACAACUGCUCUGGUAGAGUGGAGGUGUUCCACUUUGGCCAGUGGGGUACAGUGUGUGAUGAUUGGUGGGAUCUGAGAGAUGCCCAGGUGGUGUGCAGAGAGUUGGGCUGUGGAGAAGCUCAAGAGGCCUUUAGAUCUGCAGAGUUUGGAGAAGGAAGUGACUCCAUCUCUCUGGAUGACCUGGCUUGUUCUGGCUCUGAAGACUCUUUGCUGCAGUGUCCCCACAGUGGACUGGGGAACCAUAACUGUGUCCACUAUGAAGAUGCAGGAGUUACCUGCACUGGUCCUUCUGGAGGCAUCCAGCCAUUCAACUCAUCAUGGACCCAGGGUUCUGGUUCCGGAGGUUUCUGAAAGCAUAUAGAUCUCUCAUCUGUACAGUCUAGGAGUAUCAAGGGUUAACCAUAAACACUGUAUGUACGUUCUAAUUCUAUUUGUCGUCAAAUCUCUCCAGUUGGUACAUGCUGCUGUGCAAAUUAAACACACUUCUAAUAAUACAGUGUGGUAAACCAUAGUCCGUAACAAUUAAUUUCCAGCCAGAUGAGACUCUUGCUUUCUGCAAGAAAGUGGGGUGGAACCAUUUCAAAUUCUGCCUCAUGUACUGUAUCAUUCACAAUGGCCAUCAAUAAUGACACAAUGCCAAGAAGAUCCUGUGUCACAGGUCCAGGACCGAGAAGGUGAAAACAACCUAGGCCAGCCAAGCACCAAAGACCUUCUGAAUUUGAACUCAAAUACAGUUCAAAUGCAAUCACAUGACCUGUAAGAUGAAUAUGCAUAAGGUUUUGAAAAUGGUUUGUAUAGUGUUCACAUGCUGUAACUAACAAAUCAGUAUAUGAACUAAAUUCAAUUCCCCCCAAAAAUCAGAAAACAUUGGGAAAUGUUCAAUUAAUGGAUUUAAUUUAAAUGAAUUAAUGAUAUUUAGUCUUUUAAAGGUUUGUUGACAUUUUUCUGGUUAUACUAAACAUUGUAUUGUUCCUUUCAUGGUUAGGACAUUCUGUUACUUGUAGAAUGCUGUGUGUCCUAUUCCCAAGCUAGUCUAUUGUGAAUUAUCAUUAAAUAUCUUUAAUUAAAUCAAAACAAAUACUGUAUUGUUCUUCAAAAUAAUUUGGAAUUUUACCCAUAUAUUCACCAAGGUGCACAUAAGAGUAAGUUCACAUGCUAAGUUCCUCUCCAUCUUCUCUAUCAAUAGAGAGCAACAAUAGGCCAUCGUUAGAUUAAAAACCAAAACAAGUAUUUAACCUUUUUAACUAGAAUGCCAGCAUCCCGGAGUCGCCACUUCACUGUUGACUUUGAGACUGGUGUUUUGCGGGUGCUAUUUAAUGAAACUGCAAGUUGAAGACUUGCAAGGCGUCUGUCAGAGUGGCCAUCGGAUUCUUGGUCACCUCCCUGACCAAGG